UACAGAGGUCCCAAGCGUUGUUCGGAUUCACUGGGCGUAAAGGGUGCGUAGGCGGUCGGGUAAGUCUGACGUGAAAUCUUCAAGCUCAACUUGGGAACUGCGUCGGAUACUAUUCGGCUAGAGGAAUGGAGGGGAGACUGGAAUACUUGGUGUAGCAGUGAAAUGCGUAGAUAUCAAGUGGAACACCAGUGGCGAAGGCGAGUCUCUGGACAUUUCCUGACGCUGAGGCACGAAAGCCAGGGGAGCAAACGGG
rnacentral:rRNA from 1 species